CUCCAAGUAUAUUGAACUUGAGGGUCUGCUGUUCGUUUUCCUGUAUAUGUGUCUGCAGGGAGGUAUGUAGGCAGGUGCCCCAAGGGAGCCGGAAGGAGGGGGUGAGGUGCCCUAGAGGUGAGGGACUGGUGAGAGCUACCUGGUGUGGAUGCUGGGAACGGGACUCCAGUUGGGACAAAAACAGCAGGAUUCUUAACUAUUCAUGUCUCCGCUACCCCUUUCUAGAACAAGGUCUUGAGUAGCCCAGGCUGGCCUCACCAAGGAUAACUUUGAUUAUUCUCUGCCUCCUGAGUGCUGGCAUUACAGGCUUAAACUAUCAUAACUUAGCAUUCCAAAGAAAAAUAUAUUAAAUAAUUUGGACACAUUUCAUCUAUGGAAAAUUCUCUAAAAGACCUUAAACUGGGGAUUUGUGAUGCAGUUACAGAGAGCCUGCAAAACCCUUUGCUCAUCCUAGGAGCUCCAAAGGUAUGGAGCCAAUCUGGCUUCCAUAGCAAGUACCAGCCAAAGGCUCUAUGCAACUUUUCUCAAACCAAAAGAUACCAAAAAAGAAAAAGAAAAUCCCUUAGUAAUGCUUAACCACAAAAUAGAACCCCUCAGCUUUAUUUACUACGGUGCCUGAGGCCAAAGAGGCAACAGUUACCAUGUUACACAUGGCUCUCCCAUGCACAGGGCUCUCUGUGGAGCCCUGGCUGUCCUAGAACUCAGAGAUCCACCUGCUUCUCCCCCCUCAGGUGCUGAAGUUAAAAGUGCGUUCCACCUCACCCAGCAUCUUUUCUGAGACUGUUUCCUGUAGCUUAGGUUGGCCUUGAUUCUUGACACACACACCCCUCAGGCUCCGAAACACAUUGCCCUGCCUGGCCACACAUUCUGUCAUUAUUGCUGCUUGCUUCCCAGUCAGCUCCAGUGGUCCUCUUGUCUUUCCUCGGACAGUCUCCAUGCAUGCCCUUCUCCCUGUGUUCUCCCUGUGGCUCUCACUGGCCUGGAAUUCACAGAUAGCCACCUGCCUCUACCUCACCAGGGCUGGGAUUGAAGGGUCAUGCAUUCUUAGUGUCUAUCCACAGCACUUCCAUUGAACAGAAAUACAGCUUGAUCCUCUGAAAGGAAAGUCAGCAUGUCCUGUGGACUCAAAUAUAAAAUCAUUACGCUGGUGAUUGAAGAUUUCCCACACAAAACAAAACAGUCCCACUAAGCUGACCCAUGGGCUGUCACUAGUGAACACUGCCUCCCUCCAAGGUUUGGGAAGAAAGUCUGAGAAAGGCCUUUUCUCAAAUCUUUAAGAUCACUGGAGGGGGAAAAAAAAAAAAAAAAAA
rnacentral:lncRNA from 1 species